AGUACAGACGAGUUUGAUCCUGGCUCAGAACGAACGCUGGCGGCAGGCCUAACACAUGCAAGUCGAGCGCCUCGCAAGGGGAGCGGCGGACGGGUGAGUAACACGUGGGAAUUUUCCUCAAGGUACGGAACAACUCAGGGAAACUUGGGCUAAUACCGUAUGAUGCAGAGAUGCCAAAGAUUUAUCGCCUUGGGAUAAGCCCGCGUCAGAUUAGGUAGUUGGUGGGGUAAUGGCCUACCAAGCCUGUGAUCUGUAAGCUGGUCUGAGAGGACGAUCAGCCACAUUGGGACUGAGACACGGCCCAAACUCCUACGGGAGGCAGCAGUGGGGAAUCUUGCGCAAUGGACGAAAGUCUGACGCAGCCAUGCCGCGUGAAUGAUGAAGGUCUUAGGAUUGUAAAGUUCUUUAGCCUGUGACGAUGAUGACGGUAACAGGAGAAUAAGCCCCGGCUAACUUCGUG
rnacentral:rRNA from 1 species